rnacentral:rRNA from 1 species
GAACGCUGGCGGCGUGCCUAACACAUGCAAGUCGAGCGAGAAAGUCUCCUUCGGGAGGCGAGUAAAGCGGCGAACGGGUGAGUAACACGUGAGCGAUCUACCCGACGGCGGGGGAUAACUCAGGGAAACCUGAGCUAAUACCGCAUACAGCACUGGCUUGGAAGCCGGAUGUGAAAGCUGGCCUCUCGAAGAAGCUGGCACCGUUGGAUGAGCUCGCGGCCUAUCAGCUUGUUGGUGGGGUAACGGCCUACCAAGGCGAUGACGGGUAGCUGGUCUGAGAGGACGAUCAGCCACACUGGGACUGAGACACGGCCCAGACUCCUACGGGAGGCAGCAGUGGGGAAUAUUGCACAAUGGGCGCAAGCCUGAUGCAGCAAUGCCGCGUGUGUGAAGAAGGCCUGAGGGUUGUAAAGCACUUUCAGUGGGGAGGAAACCGUAACGGAACAAUACCCGUUACCUUGACGUUACCCACAGAAGAAGCACCGGCUAACUCUGUGCCAGCAGCCGCGGUAAUACAGAGGGUGCGAGCGUUAAUCGGAAUUACUGGGCGUAAAGCGCGCGUAGGCGGCCUGAUCAGUCGGAUGUGAAAGCCCCGGGCUUAACCUGGGAAUUGCAUACGAUACUGUCAGGCUAGAGUGUAGUAGAGGGAAGCGGAAUUCCGGGUGUAGCGGUGAAAUGCGUAGAUAUCCGGAGGAACAUCAGUGGCGAAGGCGGCUUCCUGGACUAACACUGACGCUGAGGUGCGAAAGCGUGG